CGAACAGACAAGGAGCUUGCUCCUUUGACGUUAGCGGCGGACGGGUGAGUAACACGUGGGUAACCUACCUAUAAGACUGGGAUAACUUCGGGAAACCGGAGCUAAUACCGGAUAAUAUUUCGAACCGCAUGGUUCGAUAGUGAAAGAUGGUUUUGCUAUCACUUAUAGAUGGACCCGCGCCGUAUUAGCUAGUUGGUAAGGUAACGGCUUACCAAGGCGACGAUACGUAGCCGACCUGAGAGGGUGAUCGGCCACACUGGAACUGAGACACGGUCCAGACUCCUACGGGAGGCAGCAGUAGGGAAUCUUCCGCAAUGGGCGAAAGCCUGACGGAGCAACGCCGCGUGAGUGAUGAAGGUCUUCGGAUCGUAAAACUCUGUUAUUAGGGAAGAACAUACGUGUAAGUAACUAUGCACGUCUUGACGGUACCUAAUCAGAAAGCCACGGCUAACUACGUGCCAGCAGCCGCGGUAAUACGUAGGUGGCAAGCGUUAUCCGGAAUUAUUGGGCGUAAAGCGCGCGUAGGCGGUUUUUUAAGUCUGAUGUGAAAGCCCACGGCUCAACCGUGGAGGGUCAUUGGAAACUGGAAAACUUGAGUGCAGAAGAGGAAAGUGGAAUUCCAUGUGUAGCGGUGAAAUGCGCAGAGAUAUGGAGGAACACCAGUGGCGAAGGCGACUUUCUGGUCUGUAACUGACGCUGAUGUGCGAAAGCGUGGGGAUCAAACAGGAUUAGAUACCCUGGUAGUCCACGCCGUAAACGAUGAGUGCUAAGUGUUAGGGGGUUUCCGCCCCUUAGUGCUGCAGCUAACGCAUUAAGCACUCCGCCUGGGGAGUACGACCGCAAGGUUGAAACUCAAAGGAAUUGACGGGGACCCGCACAAGCGGUGGAGCAUGUGGUUUAAUUCGAAGCAACGCGAAGAACCUUACCAAAUCUUGACAUCCUUUGACAACUCUAGAGAUAGAGCCUUCCCCUUCGGGGGACAAAGUGACAGGUGGUGCAUGGUUGUCGUCAGCUCGUGUCGUGAGAUGUUGGGUUAAGUCCCGCAACGAGCGCAACCCUUAAGCUUAGUUGCCAUCAUUAAGUUGGGCACUCUAAGUUGACUGCCGGUGACAAACCGGAGGAAGGUGGGGAUGACGUCAAAUCAUCAUGCCCCUUAUGAUUUGGGCUACACACGUGCUACAAUGGACAAUACAAAGGGCAGCGAAACCGCGAGGUCAAGCAAAUCCCAUAAAGUUGUUCUCAGUUCGGAUUGUAAUCUGCAACUCGACUACAUGAAGCUGGAAUCGCUAGUAAUCGUAGAUCAGAAUGCUACGGUGAAUACGUUCCCGGGUCUUGUACACACCGCCCGUCACACCACGAGAGUUUGUAACACCCGAAGCCGGUGGAGUAACCAUUUGGAG
rnacentral:rRNA from 1 species